AUUGAACGCUGGCGGCAGGCCUAACACAUGCAAGUCGAACGAGUGGCGGACGGGUGAGUAAUGUCUGGGAAACUGCACGAUGGAGGGGGAUAACUACUGGAAACGGUAGCUAAUACCGCAUACCAUCGGAUGUGCCCAGAUGGGAUUAGCUAGUAGGUGGGGUAACGGCUCACCUAGGCGACGAUCCCUAGCUGGUCUGAGAGGAUGACCAGCAACACUGGAACGGAGACACGGUGCAGACUCCUACGAGUAGCAGCAGUGGGGAAUAGUGCACAAUGGGCGCAAGCCUGAUGCAGCCAUGCCGCGUGUAUGAAGAAGGCCUUCGGGUUGUAAAGUACUUUCAGCGAGGAGGCGUUACUCGCAGAAGAAGCACAGGCGAACUCCGUGCAAGCAGCCGCGGUAAUUC
rnacentral:rRNA from 1 species